UGUGCAUAGAUGUUAGGGUUAAG
rnacentral:miRNA from 1 species